rnacentral:rRNA from 1 species
UUUNAAGNUUUNNNANCCCCGUCAGACGNACGCUGGCGGCGUGCCUAAUACAUGCAAGUCGUACGCUUCUUUUUCCACCGGAGCUUGCUCCACCGGAAAAAGAAGAGUGGCGAACGGGUGAGUAACACGUGGGUAACCUGCCCAUCAGAAGGGGAUAACACUUGGAAACAGGUGCUAAUACCGUAUAACAAUCGAAACCGCAUGGUUUUGAUUUGAAAGGCGCUUUCGGGUGUCGCUGAUGGAUGGACCCGCGGUGCAUUAGCUAGUUGGUGAGGUAACGGCUCACCAAGGCCACGAUGCAUAGCCGACCUGAGAGGGUGAUCGGCCACAUUGGGACUGAGACACGGCCCAAACUCCUACGGGAGGCAGCAGUAGGGAAUCUUCGGCAAUGGACGAAAGUCUGACCGAGCAACGCCGCGUGAGUGAAGAAGGUUUUCGGAUCGUAAAACUCUGUUGUUAGAGAAGAACAAGGAUGAGAGUAACUGUUCAUCCCUUGACGGUAUCUAACCAGAAAGCCACGGCUAACUACGUGCCAGCAGCCGCGGUAAUACGUAGGUGGCAAGCGUUGUCCGGAUUUAUUGGGCGUAAAGCGAGCGCAGGCGGUUUCUUAAGUCUGAUGUGAAAGCCCCCGGCUCAACCGGGGAGGGUCAUUGGAAACUGGGAGACUUGAGUGCAGAAGANGAGANG